rnacentral:rRNA from 1 species
GGAGGGCAAGUCUGGUGCCAGCAGCCGCGGUAAUUCCAGCUCCAAUAGCGUAUAUUAAAAUUGUUGCAGUUAAAAAGCUCGUAGUUGAAUUUCUGCUGCAUUUCAUUUCUCUUUCUGAGUUUGUUUUUGCGGCUUAUUUCGGUUUGAUUUUUUCUUUCCGGAUGAUUACUUUGAGAAAAUUAGAGUGCUCAAAGCAGGCUUUUGCCUUGAAUAGUUUAGCAUGGAAUAAUAAAGUAGGACUUUGGUUCUAUUUUGUUGGUUUUAGGUACCAAAGUAAUGGUUAAUAGGAACAGUUGGGGGCAUUCGUAUUUAACUGUCAGAGGUGAAAUUCUUAGAUUUGUUAAAGACGAACUACUGCGAAAGCAUUUGCCAAGGAUGUUUUCAUUAAUCAAGAACGAAAGUUAGGGGAUCGAAGACGAUCAGAUAC